rnacentral:rRNA from 1 species
AGCCAUGCCGCGUGCGGGAAGACGGCCCUAUGGGUUGUAAACCGCUUUUGCGAGGGAGCAAUAAGGGCAACGUGUUGUCCGAUGAGAGUACCUCGCGAAUAAGCAUCGGCUAACUCCGUGCCAGCAGCCGCGGUAAUACGGAGGAUGCAAGCGUUAUCCGGAUUUAUUGGGUUUAAAGGGUGCGCAGGCGGCUUGUUAAGCGGGAGGUGAAAUGCCGGCGCUCAACGUCGGAAGUGCCUCCCGAACUGGUGAGCUUGAAUGACUCUGCCGUGGGAGGAAUGUGUAGUGUAGCGGUGAAAUGCUUAGAGAUUACACAGAACACCGAUUGCGAAGGCAUCUCACGAAGGGUUGAUUGACGCUGAGGCACGAAAGCGUGGGGAUCAAACAGGAUUAGAUACCCUGGUAGUCCACGCAGUAAACGAUGAUGGCUAACCGCUGGGUAAUACUAUUCAGUGGCCAAGCGAAAGCGAUAAGCCAUCCACCUGGGGAGUACGACCGCAAGGUUGAAACUCAAAGGAAUUGACGGGGGCCCGCACAAGCGGAGGAACAUGUGGUUUAAUUCGAUGAUACGCGAGGAACCUUACCCGGGCUCGAACGGCUGGUGAAGAGAUCCAGAGAUGGUGACGUCCUUCGGGACACCAGUCGAGGUGCUGCAUGGUUGUCGUCAGCUCGUGCCGUGAGGUGUCGGCUCAAGUGCCAUAACGAGCGCAACCCUUGCCGUCAGUUACCAUCAAGUAGUGUUGGGGACUCUGGCGGGACUGCCACCGCAAGGUGUGAGGAAGGGGGGGAUGACGUCAAAUCAGCACGGCCCUUACGUCCGGGGCGACACACGUGUUACAAUGGCGGCCACAGAGGGGCACUACCUGGCGACAGGAUGGGAAUCUCGAAAAGCCGUCUCAGUCCGGAUCGGAGUCUGCAACCCGACUCCGUGAAGCUGGAUUCGCUAGUAAUCGCGCAUCAGCCAUGGCGCGGUGAAUACGUUCCCGGGCCUUGUACACACCGCCCGUCAAGCCAUG